rnacentral:rRNA from 1 species
CAGCAGCCGCGGUAAACGGAGGAAGCAAGCGUUAUCCGGAUUUAUUGGGCGUAAGGGGCGUGGAGGCGGCUUGGUAAGGUGGAUGUGAAAUCUCUCGGCUUAACUGGGAGAAGUCGUUCAAUACUAUCAGGCUAGAGAAUGGGAGAGGGAAGUGGAAUUCCCGGG